AUCUCCGCGCCGCCGCCGCCAUGGCAAUGAACCCUAGUAGCUGAGCUGAUUCGCCCAUUGCUAGAUCUGGAUUUGUGAUGCGUUUUCUCUUUUCUUUGUUUGAUUCUUCGGUGAUGUUGCGAUUUGUUUGUGUUUUUAUCUUUUUUUGGUAGGAUUGGAUUGGUUGGCUAAGCCUAACAUUGCAAUCGUUCGCUGCUAAUCUCGAGUGCGGCGAUCGAUCUAUCCUUAGGCGAGAUCGAAACAGAGGGGAGGACGCUUUCCUAGUUGUCCCCGCCUGCUUUUUAAGCUCCGGCUGUCCUGUUUAAUCCCAGGAUUUGCCGGUGACAAAGCAGGUAAAUUUCCCCCCAUUUGAUUUAGUAUUUUUGAUACUUUUCCCCUCCUGGCGUAGUAGGUGUUUUUGUUGUUGAUUUAUCUCAACAGUUGGCAUGGUUGGGGGUGAUGAAGAAAAUCGUUCGGAUUCCCAUUGAUUUCUAAUCGAAAUGUGAUCUUUAAACCAGCUACUUCUGACUCAAAAAUCAUGCCAAUGGAAAGUAUUUUCUCUUUUUUAUUUGAAAAAAAUGAGUGUUUUUAUUUCUCUUUUUCUUUUGUCAGGGCCCGUGAUGUGAGAAAAAUAUUUGCUACUCUUGAUGGGACAAGAGUUCCAUCUGAUGAUCAUAACCACCAAGAUCUCUGAAGCCUUAAUAAUCGUCAUGAUUUAUUUCGGUUUUUCUGCUUUUCUGAGCUGUAUUUUGUUGUUCAAGUUGCAUAUCCGAAAUACUGGAAUUCAUGUCCCAGCUCAUUUACUAAACAGUGAACACGCACUAAAUUACUGGAUCUACGAACUCUGAAAUAUAUAUCUUUCUUGGCAAUGCGAGAUCUGUAGAGCUUGAGGAUACAUCAGGCCUGCUAUAAAUACACAAGUGGCUGACAUGGCACAAUCUUGAUGGUUUCCUCCUUUGUUGAUUUACCAGUUGGCAUGGUUGAGGAUGAAGAAGAAAAUCAGACGGAUUCCCAUUGAUUUCAAAUCGAAAUGUGAUCUUUAACCAGCUACUUCCGACUCAAAUUCAUGCCAUUGGAUACAAGUCUCUUUUCCUCUUGUUUUUGAAAAAAAAGUCUUCAUGUGUUUUUUUGUGUUUGCUUUGCUGAGGACCAGGGAUGUGAGAAAAAUAUUUGCUACUCUUGAUGAGGCAUUGAGUCCCAUCUGAUGAUCAUUAACCACCAAGAUCUCUGAGGCCUUGUUCUAGCCGUCACUGUUUAUUUCGAGCUUUCUGCUUCUCUGGUUUUGACUUUUGUGUGUGCAAGCCGCAUAACAUAAACUUGGAAGGCAGGGCAAUUCAGUUCAGUACUAGCUAAACUGCAAACGUGCUCUGUUAAAAAUGAUAGAAUUGCUCGUAUGAUCAUGCGUUAUAGUUGACUUUACUAUUAUAAUAAACUGAAAUGUACUAUCCAAUUAUGAACAGCAAAUGAACAAAUAUCAAGUAACUCUCAAUGUGUAAUUGUGCAACGUUAGAUAUGAAUCUCUCUGAUUGUGCCAUGAGCUCAGGAUGCAUCUGGGCAUGGAAGAAUGAACAGUUGCUGACAGUAUGCACAAGACAUGGCAUCCCCUAGGACCUAGGGGGCAUUGGAGGACUGAACUUUGGGUUCAAUACCAAGAUGCAAAUUCUUGUGUCUUAACUCUUAACCGUGUAAAUAUAUCGCUUAUGAUUUGAUUAUGUAUCAGA
rnacentral:sRNA from 1 species